UACGGGGGGGGCAAGCGUUGUUCGGAAUUACUGGGCGUAAAGGGCUCGUAGGCGGCCAACUAAGUCAGACGUGAAAUCCCUGCUUAACCGGGGAACUGCGUCUGAUACUGGAUGGCUUGAAUCCGGGAGAGGGAUGCGGAAUUCCAGGUGUAGCGGUGAAAUGCGUAGAUAUCGGGAGGAACACCUGUGGCGAAGGCGGCCCCCUGGUUGGAUACUGACGCUGAUACGCGAAAGCGUGGGGAGCAAACAGG
rnacentral:rRNA from 1 species